rnacentral:rRNA from 1 species
UACAGAGGGGCAAGCGUUGUUCGGAAUUACUGGGCGUAAAGGGCGCGUAGGCGGCCUUCUAAGUCGAACGUGAAAUCCCCGGGCUCAACCCGGGAACUGCGUCCGAGCCUGGAAGGCUUGAAUCCGGGAGAGGGAUGUGGAAUUCCAGGUGUAGCGGUGAAAUGCGUAGAUAUCUGGAGGAACAUCGGUGGCGAAGGCGGCAUCCUGGACCGGCAUUGACGCUGAGGAGCGAAAGCCAGGGGAGCAAAGCGGG